UGACGUAAGAAAGCAGAGUCUGCGUGAGUCCAGGGGGCGGGUCUAGUAGAACGGGACGCAAGCGCCGCGGAGUCCAGCAGGCGUGGCAGCUUCCGCGCCUGCGCGGUUCCAGUUUCCCGUCUACGUCUACCACCUGUGCGGGUUUUCGCUGCCUUCUGGAAAGUGGAGGUUGUAUCGAGGGGCGUGGCAGGAUCGCCCGAGGCUUAUCGUAGUGGGGAGCACGGGAGGUGUUGCGAGGGGAGAAAUGCCUAGACACGGGCUAACGUGGGAGGGGGUCGCUUUACAGCUUGGAUACCUUCCCCGCAGGCGCAUGCUGCUGCUCGCCCACCUUUGGCGUUUUGCUGACUCACGCCAACUCUCGGUCCAGAGUGGAUCAGUUUCAAUUAGUCCUGCUAGUUGAAUCAGCUGGGUGAGGAGCACACUUCUGCUUGCCUCUUUGCUCUGUCCUCAGUUCCUUCACACUUCAUAGGUGUUCAACUGGGUCAUUGAGAAUGAAGUUCUGCCACCCCAAGGCACAUCACCCACUGCCAGAAAACCUGAACAAGCCCUUUUAUAAGUUCAUUGUUUAUCCUGGGUCUACAGACAAAGCAGAUCUCAAGUGUCUGUAAAAGAUACACCUCACACACACACUCAAUUUGCAAAAUUAGACAACUUUAUUCCAAUGCGCUCAAAUUACACCCGUUUAUAUUUCCGAGACAAUCUCUCUAGAGAGCCUAAGCUAACUUAAGAACUGAACCUCCUGCCUGUCGCCAAAGUGCUGGAAUUAAAGGCAUGUGACAACACUCGACUGCCCAUUCAUCCAGCUUAAGCAUUAUUGCAAUGGGGAGCUGCCAGUCUUGGUGUUAAAGUUUAAAAAAGCUAUCAGCAUGCCUGAGGUUAUAGAUUAGUUGGUAAAAUGCUUGUCUACCCUGAGGCUUUGUGUUUGAUCCCCGGUACCUCAUAAAACUGGGUGCGGUGCAUGCCAAUAACUCCAACAUUCAGGAGGCAGGGAUAGAAUGAUCAAGAAUUCAAGGUUGCUGGACUUAGAUGGAACCAGCCUUUAAUCCCGGCACUCAGGAGGCAGAAAAAGGCAGAUCUCUGAGUUCAAGGCCACCCUGAUCUACAGAAUUCCAGGACAACUAGGGUUAAAGAGAAAAACCUAAGGAGAAAAAAAAAAAAAAAUCAAGGUCACCCCACUGCUACAAAAUGAGUUCCAGGCCAUUCUGGGGCCAUUUGAAACCUUGUUUCAAUUCUCUGGUCUCAGUAAGCUACUGAGUACUCAAUUCUCUGGUCUCAGUAAGCUACUGAGUACACCCAUAUGUGUAUAAUACAUUUAGGAGACUAGGGCAGGCAAUUUGGGAGUUCGAGGCCAUUCUGGACUGUACUAACUUCCGCAUAAACAAAACAGCAAUUGAACCUCUAGAUCUAAUAACCAGUUUACAGUAAAUUCAGGCCAGGGGCUGGAGAAAGGACUCUGAGAAGUGCUUGUUCUGUUCUCAGCAUUAAGACCUGAGUUUGAUCCCUUGUACCCAAGUAAAGUCAGAUGUAUCUGUAAGUCACUGUGGUCUAUUUUCUGUAUAAAAUGUACUUAGGCGCUUCCAGUUUACUUUAGAGUUGAGACAUUAGUAGCUAUGCAACUGAGCCAAUGUAUCAGGAAAUCAGAGAGGGUUCUCCAGCCCCAGGAGGAUACAGGGUUUGGGGUGGAGACAAUGGUAGAAAAACAACGGGAAAGACUGAAACUCUCUGGAAUAUCAGGGGAAAAAAGGGCAGGAUUUUUUUUUUUUUUAAAUAUAGAUCAGAGACUCUAAAAACAUUGGUUGUGCCAAAUCAUAGGGCCAGCCAGGCCUUUCUGCCUGUUUCCCAGGCUGCUUUAUGUUAGUUAUUCUGUCUCCAGUCCUGAGACGUGAGGCACAUCUUUACUCCCACACCCUAAACCCCAGUGCUGGUAGGCAAGGUAAGAUCACCAGGACUUAGGAGCUGGUCCGCUGAGCAAAAUCAUUUUUCCAGGGCCAGUGAGAUACUGUCUUGAAACUAGAGGCAGUUGAAGAAUACACUCAACACGAACAUCUGACCUCUAUCUGUACACACACACACACACACACACACACACACACACACCAUUGAAACCUAGAGGCUGGAGACAGAUGGUUCAGCAGUUAAGAACACUUGCUGCUCUUUCAAGGGAUUGGUGUGUGGUUCUCAGCAUUCAAAUGACUGCUCACAACUCUCUGCAACUCCACUUCCAGGGGAACCCGAUGCCCCUGUGGCAUUGGGGAGUUCUCUGCAUACAUGUGAUGCAGGUAAAUCCCUCAGGCAUUAAAUGAAGAUAAAAUUAACCAAACACGGUUCUUCUGGCAGGCCAUACGGCAGGCAUCAAGAUGGCACACGCUGCUAAGGCUGUUUCCUACACUUUUACAAAGUUCUUUUGUAGUUCAGGUUCCCCUCCAGACUCUUGCUCUGAGGCCAUCCUGAAGAAGAUGCUCUGUCCUCACUUUCCGGUUCCCCUUAUGAAAAUGAACCUUGGAAAUACCUGGAUUCACAAUACCAGAACAGCUAUGGCUCUCGCCCUGCUUGGGCUGACUACUGCUGCAACCACAAACGCUUGCCGCCAGUGCUGCUGGGAAUCCUUGCCCCAUCUGCCGGCAUCACAAGUUUCACGUUGACUUUAGGAUGUGAAGCUCUUGAAGAGUUUGUGCCCACACUGGUAUCAUCUUCCAUGCCUCAUACACAGGGGGUCUGUAUGAAGCGGCACAAGACGCUGACCCAGGCCAUCCAGAAAGCCAGGGAGUGUGGUCUUCUCAGUUGCUACCUUCUCCAGGUUGAGACCCGAGAUGCUGACUUUCCUACUAUACAUCGAACUGUCAGUGUGACUCCAUCAGCCACCACCCCACCCCACCCCCACACUGCUGUCAGGUGAACCUUGGUACCCGUGGUACAGCUGGCAACAGCCACGGAGAGAGAACUGACUCUAUCAAGGAAAUCUCCUAGAAGAAAGUGCCCCCCCCCCCACCUGAGUCAAUGCCUGAGAUGCUCAAGACACCACCAGCAGAAGCCUCCACCGAGGAGACCGACCUGGGAAGUCAGACUAAGGGAGUGCAGUCUAGGGCUAUGUGGUGUCAUGUGUUCUGCAAAGGGUUGUUUUGUGACAGUGGCAGACCCUAAAGGGAAUUGACUGGUAUGAAGAGGCCAAGCACAUUUGAAGUUGAAGAGGGACUAGAUGUAUAUGGGUAACUUUGGAGAGGGCUUACAUAUGAACUGGAGACUCUUGUGUGUGUGCUAGAUCGUGUAUCCCUAUUUUAAACUCUCUGGCUCAGCUUUUAUACAAUAACGCUGUGCCUCCUCAAAAGGAAAAUAAAACACCAAACCAAGCCAGUCCCCCCUCACCACCCCCCAAAAAAAAGCACAAUUAGGGGCUGGAGAAAUAGCUCAGUGGUUACGAGCAUGCACUUUUCUUACAGAGAACCAA